rnacentral:tRNA from 1 species
UCCCCGUUGGUGUAAUUGGCAACACUGCAGGUUUUGGUCCUGUCGUUCCAGGUUCGAGUCCUGGGCGGGGAGCCA